UACGGGGGGAGCAAGCGUUGUUCGGAUUUACUGGGCGUAAAGGGCGCGUAGGCGGCGAUUGCAAGUCAGUUGUGAAAUCUCCGGGCUUAACCCGGAAAGGUCAACUGAUACUGCAGGGCUAGAGUGCAGAAGGGGCAACUGGAAUUCUCGGUGUAGCGGUGAAAUGCGUAGAUAUCGAGAGGAACACCUGCGGCGAAGGCGGGUUGCUGGGCUGACACUGACGCUGAUGCGCGAAAGCCAGGGGAGCAAACGGG
rnacentral:rRNA from 1 species